GGCCUCGUAGUUCAAUGGAUAGAAUAGAAGUUUCCUAAACUUUUGAUAUGGGUUCGAUUCCCGUCGAGGCUACCA
rnacentral:tRNA from 2 species